GAUGAACGCUGGCGGCGUGCCUAAUACAUGCAAGUCGAGCGAACAGACGAGGAGCUUGCUCCUCUGACGUUAGCGGCGGACGGGUGAGUAACACGUGGAUAACCUACCUAUAAGACUGGGAUAACUUCGGGAAACCGGAGCUAAUACCGGAUAAUAUAUUCAACCGCAUGGUUCAAUAGUGAAAGACGGUUUUGCUGUCACUUAUAGAUGGAUCCGCGCCGCAUUAGCUAGUUGGUAAGGUAACGGCUUACCAAGGCAACGAUGCGUAGCCGACCUGAGAGGGUGAUCGGCCACACUGGAACUGAGACACGGUCCAGACUCCUACGGGAGGCAGCAGUAGGGAAUCUUCCGCAAUGGGCGAAAGCCUGACGGAGCAACGCCGCGUGAGUGAUGAAGGUCUUCGGAUCGUAAAGCUCUGUUAUUAGGAAAGAACAAAUGUGUAAGUAACUAUGCACGUCUUGACGGUACCUAAUCAGAAAGCCCCGGCUAACUACGUG
rnacentral:rRNA from 1 species